rnacentral:rRNA from 1 species
UAUCCAAUGAAAACACAACGGUCUGCUAACACAAAUUGUGGUUGUAUAGAUCGUGAUUCCUGUCCAAUGCUAGGUGAUAUAGGGACUCAUUUACAAAAAUAAGUGAGAGCUAGAAUAACUAGUCAAUGACGGUCUUAACUAUAAGGAUCCUAAGGUAGCUCCGGAUGAUUGUUUUAA